rnacentral:rRNA from 1 species
CCUACGGGAGGCAGCAGUGGGGGAUAUUGCACAAUGGGGGGAACCCUGAUGCAGCGACGCCGCGUGGGUGAAGAAGCGCCUCGGCGCGUAAAGCCCUGUCAGCAGGGAAGAAAAUGACGGUACCUGAAGAAGAAGCCCCGGCUAACUACGUGCCAGCAGCCGCGGUAAUACGGAGGGGGCAAGCGUUAUCCGGAUUUACUGGGUGUAAAGGGGGCGCAGACGGCGAUGCACGCAAGGAGUGAAAGCCCGGGGCGCAACCCCGGGACUGCUGUUGGAACUGGGUGGCUGGAGUGCAGGAGGGACAGGCGGAAUUACUGGUGUAGCGGUGAAAGGCGUAGAUAGCAGGAGGAACACCGGUGGCGAAGGCGGCCUGCUGGACUGCAACUGACGUUGAGGCCCGAAAGCGUGGGGAGCAAACAGGAUUAGAUACCCCUGUAGUC